AGUGUCAUGACAGGAACUUCCAAGAAUUCUCUGCCACUUCAAUGCUCCCAGGGACUGGCAACCCUACAGGGACAUAAAAGAGACAAGGAAAUAUAAACUGAAUGCAAUAUGAAUCCCCACAGAGGAUCUGAUCUUGUUUCGACACGUUGAAAACAGAACAAGUUGUGGUGGAAGGUGGCAAAACCAUCAUAUUUGAAGAGACAAGAUAUCUUGAAAAUGGCCCUGUCUGAGAGACAGUCUAAAAAUAGUUUACUUGAGAUUGGAACAGAGAACUCCAAGGACCCUGAACGCAUUGGUUAUGGCAUAAUCAACCAUAGGGAAGAGUCUAUUAUUAAGUAAUUUUCCAGCCCAACUCAAUGUUUUAAACAUUAAAGUUCUACACAACUCACAGUUCCAUUCGGGGCGGGGUGGGGGAUGAAAGGGCUUGAUGGAGUGGCUUGGCCUUGCACUGGAGCGUUUGUCCUCCCCAGGGCAAUUAACCUGGUGGAGAAAGUGCUGGUGGCGACCCGCCUCUCAGACACACCUCUACACAACCCAGAAGUCUGAUGCCAGCAUGGGGGGGGGGCGUUCCUAGGAGUGGAGCUGACAUUACUCCUAUCCAGGAUUUAGGGCUGAGAGCAUGAAGCCCCAGUCCAGUGAUGGCAAACCUAUGGCACUCCAGAUGUUCAUGGACUACAAUCGCCACCACUGCCUAAGUCCUAUGGAGGGCUUUCCAGUGGUGGUGGUUUCAUUUUUUUGCUUCCCACGCUGCUGGAAAGCCCUCUUGAAAAUGGCAGGGUGGCACUGCAUCCCACAACCAAGGGCUUUGGAUGGGGCUACUUAUUACCUCAGGGAACACUGUUGCUGAUGUGAAUGUACUAUUCUGGUUCAUUUGCUAUGCUGAUUCACUGACCUAAAAGGUCUCAGUUGCUCCUGCGGUGCUUCAUGCAUUUUUCUAAAAAAUCAAAUCCUCUCAAAUCUCAUCUUCACAGUAUAUGCCAUUCUUGUUUUAACCUCAAAUAAAAGAAAUUUUCUCUGGAAGAGUAAUUCUGUAUAAAGACCUGAAUUUGGAGGAGAGAAGUUAGGGUUCUGACCAGAAGUUAGGGAGCUACCAGGGAGCAGGGGCAGGUGCGCAUUGCACCGGGCGAGCGCCCCGGGGGGGAGGGGGUCACCUCCCGCCCCACAGUUACCUUAGUUCAGCC